UACGAAGGGGGCUAGCGUUGCUCGGAAUCACUGGGCGUAAAGGGUGCGUAGGCGGGUCUUUAAGUCUGGGGUGAAAUCCUGGAGCUCAACUCCAGAACUGCCUUUGAUACUGAGGAUCUUGAGUUCGGGAGAGGUGAGUGGAACUGCGAGUGUAGAGGUGAAAUUCGUAGAUAUUCGCAAGAACACCAGUGGCGAAGGCGGCUCACUGGCCCGGUACUGACGCUGAGGUGCGAAAGCGUGGGGAGCAAACAGG
rnacentral:rRNA from 1 species